UUCAUGAGAUUGAUCCGGGCGGGUACUGGCUCAUCGAAUAUCUACCCAAGAAAUUAGAGAAUGUAUUUCAAUGAACAGAGGCUACUUCAGCCACUAACCCAGCUAUCAAAUAUGAAAAAUAAAACAAUCAGUUUGUAGAAUGAGAUUGGAAAUUUUGGUUGUUAAUAUCCAAGGUCGUUGCUAGCUAUUCAUUGGUUUUGGUUUUGGUUUUGGUUUUGGUUUGCUGGUCUUGACUCGGUCUGUUUUAUUGCUUUGUUGGCAACUCACGCACAUUAUUUUGUUUUCUUGAGUGUGACAAUCAGUUUGCGAAAGGGGUUAAUCGAGGCGUGUGAUGCAGUUUCAAAGGAAAUUAUUGGGUAAAUUAGAUUUAGCAUCUUCAUAUUUUUGCCAAAAUUUUAUUUAGUAUAACUUCACUUUCAAUUGUAAUAAUCAACUAUUUACACUUUAAAUUAAAUUUCAAUCUUACUCUUA